UACGGGGGGGGGCAAGCGUUGUUCGGAAUCAUUGGGCGUAAAGCGCACGUAGGCGGCCCUGUAAGUCCGUUGUGAAAGUCAAAGGCUCAACCUUUGAAUGCCGAUGGAUACUGCAGGGCUAGAGUCCGGAAGAGGCGAGUGGAAUUCCUGGUGUAGCGGUGGAAUGCGCAGAUAUCAGGAGGAACACCAAUAGCGAAGGCAGCUCGCUGGGACGGUACUGACGCUAAGGUGCGAAAGCGUGGGGAGCGAACAGG
rnacentral:rRNA from 1 species